UACGUAGGGUGCGAGCGUUAAUCGGAAUUACUGGGCGUAAAGCGUGCGCAGGCGGUUUUGUAAGCCAGAUGUGAAAGCCCCGGGCUCAACCUGGGAACUGCAUCUGUGACUGCAUCGCUGGAGUGCGGCAGAGGGGGAUGGAAUUCCGCGUGUAGCAGUGAAAUGCGUAGAUAUGCGGAGGAACACCGAUGGCGAAGGCAAUCCCCUGGGCCUGCACUGACGCUCAUGCACGAAAGCGUGGGGAGCAAACAGG
rnacentral:rRNA from 1 species